rnacentral:lncRNA from 1 species
CCUCUCUUCUGGACUUGGUUUUCACAGGAACUUGGAAGGUUGCUGCGGAAACUCCAUUUUUAUCUUCCCAAGUCAGAUAAUUGUUUUCUGUCAGCCUGCUGAUGUGUAGAGUAGUUAGGAUUAGUGAAAGCUCUAGCGGGAUGUGUUUGAAAAGAAGAAUGUUGACACUGGGAGGUUGGUGUGAUUCCACUCUCACUUUGAUGACAAGGAAACUGAGGCACAGGGAGGUUAAGAAACUUGCCCGGGAUCAUAAAGCUGCUGAACUGAUGUGUGAAGAAUUGUAUCUCAUCAUGAUUUAAAUUCACAUUUUCCU